AAGCAUCUGCUGAUAGGCCGGGACCAUUUCCUUUUGCUCUCCGGCUUGCAUCAAGAUGCGAGAGCAACCUCCUCGCGCUUUCUGCCUGCCCCACCAAGUGGCAGCUCAGAUUGAAUCGUGGAGGACAGUU